rnacentral:snRNA from 1 species
AGCUCAUAUUCUAUGGGUGUAUAUGAGUC